rnacentral:rRNA from 1 species
AUUGAACGCUGGCGGCAUGCCUUACACAUGCAAGUCGAACGGUAACAGGUUAAGCUGACGAGUGGCGAACGGGUGAGUAAUGUAUCGGAACGUGCCCAGUCGUGGGGGAUAACUGCUCGAAAGAGCAGCUAAUACCGCAUACGACCUGAGGGUGAAAACGGGGGAUCGCAAGACCUCGCGCGAUUGGAGCGGCCGAUAUCAGAUUAGGUAGUUGGUGAGGUAAAGGCUCACCAAGCCGACGAUCUGUAGCUGGUCUGAGAGGACGACCAGCCACACUGGGACUGAGACACGGCCCAGACUCCUACGGGAGGCAGCAGUGGGGAAUUUUGGACAAUGGGCGCAAGCCUGAUCCAGCCAUGCCGCGUGCGGGAAGAAGGCCUUCGGGUUGUAAACCGCUUUUGUCAGGGAAGAAAAGGUUCUGGCUGAUACCUGGGACUCAUGACGGUACCUGAAGAAUAAGCACCGGCUAACUACGUGCCAGCCGCCGCGGUAACAC